rnacentral:rRNA from 1 species
AUACGGAGGAUCCGAGCGUUAUCCGGAUUUAUUGGGUUUAAAGGGAGCGUAGGCGGACGCUUAAGUCAGUUGUGAAAGUUUGCGGCUCAACCGUAAAAUUGCAGUUGAUACUGGGUGUCUUGAGUACAGUAGAGGCAGGCGGAAUUCGUGGGGUAGCGGUGAAAUGCUUAGAUAUCACGAAGAACUCCGAUUGCGAAGGCAGCCUGCUGGACUGUAACUGACGCUGAUGCUCGAAAGUGUGGGUAUCAAACAGGAUUAGAUACCCUGGUAGUCCACACAGUAAACGAUGAAUACUCGCUGUUUGCGAUAUACAGUAAGCGGCCAAGCGAAAGCGUUAAGUAUUCCACCUGGGGAGUACGCCGGCAACGGUGAAACUCAAAGGAAUCGACGGGG